rnacentral:misc_RNA from 1 species
CUCGAGAAUCUGUUAGUUCCAAGGUACUCUUCAAUUUUAUUUCAUUCUUAACCUUUUCUUGCAGAUUGUAAUAUUGUAGAUUAGGUUUUUGAGUAAGGCAAUGUCUAAUUCACCAUUUAUGAACAUAUGUGAUCUAGUCAUUGCAAUCAACUAAUUGCUUCUCUAUACCAGCUCUCCCUUCAAAGUGGUUAUUAUGCUACUUUACAUAAACCCAUAUAAGUUUUGUAUCACAUUCAAUUUGAAUCUGCAUUGAGGUAAUGUACUAACUAAUUCUUAAAUGAUGAUAAGAGAUGCAGUUUAGGUUCAACUGAGUUAUGGCUCAAACAGUGAAAAAUUAUGGAAUCAUUUUUGCAAUUCUUUAUGUUUGAUGCACAUAAAUAACCUGGAGUGCACCCCAUACAUUGUGGUUCCUUAUGCAUGAUGUGGUAAUGCAGAUAAUUUUAGAUGCAUGCAAUGGGACUAUGAGAGGCUUCUAGCUAAAGAGAAGUCAAAUAUAUUAGGAAGAAGUUUUGGUAAUUUUUUAUUGUGGGCUUAUGCUGUGUCUUUGAGCUAUUUUCAUAACAUGUUAAGUAAACAUUUACAUUGCAGUAUUUAAAAUUGUGUUCAGUUGGAUAACAAUGCCAGACUUCUGCUUUGCACACAUGAGAUACUAAAAAUAUGGGUUCAUUAAUAGUUUGAACUGCACAGCCAGACUUCUGCUUUCCACACAUGAGAUACUAAAAAUAUGGGUUCAUUAAUAGUUUGAACUGCACAGCCAGACUUCUGCUUUC